UGGCGAACGGGUGAGUAACACGUGGGAAAUCUGCCUAAGAGUGGGGGAUAACAUUCGGAAACGGAUGCUAAUACCGCAUAUAUUCUUGAACCGCAUGGUUCUGGAAAGAAAGACGGCUUUGCUGUCGCUUUUAGAUGAUCCCGCGGCGUAUUAGUUAGUUGGUGGGGUAAUGGCUUACCAAGACCAUGAUACGUAGCCGACCUGAGAGGGUGAUCGGCCACACUGGGACUGAGACACGGCCCAGACUCCUACGGGAGGCAGCAGUAGGGAAUCUUCCACAAUGGGUGCAAACCUGAUGGAGCAAUGCCGCGUGAAUGAAGAAGGUCUUCGGAUCGUAAAGUUCUGUUAUUAGAGAAGAACAAGUCGAGGAAUAACUGUCUCGACUUUGACGGUACCUAACCAGAAAGUCACGGCUAACUACGUGCCAGCAGCCGCGGUAAUACGUAGGUGGCAAGCGUUGUCCGGAAUUAUUGGGCGUA
rnacentral:rRNA from 1 species